CAGAAACUUAAUGAGCAGAGAGAUUCAUAAUAUCUGUACAAAGGUGGUGAAAAUCUCCAUUGCAGCACUUCUGCUUCAUGCAUGUUUCACACAAGAUCACAUCCUGACUUCUAGAGCUUCUUUCCUACUUGGGGAUGAUCUCAAUUGGCAGGCAGUACUAGACCAGGCUUUAAGAACAUUCAGUUGCCUCUAGAGCUUGUCACCAGAAACAGGAUUUCAAAGCCUGUGAAAGCCAUCAUUCCCACACUGCAACACAGGCAAGGCCACUGCUGGCAUUGGAGCUGUGGUAGGAUGAGGGCAGCCGCCACAUUUAGGAAUUGCUUCCUGCUGCCUGACAUAAGCAACCAGUGGGAAGCGCCUGACAAGCCAUCAUUUCUUCUCUCCAUGAAAGACAGCCCUGUUCUGAGCCAUUCACGUCUGGUUUGUCGCUAGAACAAGAAUGUGCUCUUCAAAAUUCUGAGUUCAGCAUUUUGGAAAACUGCCUCUAUGGACACAAGAGUUGGAAGAAAAAAAGUUAUUGCACAAAGACAGUGUCUUCCUCUAUUUCUACAGCAUUAAGGGAGAGUUGCGGGGACUCAAACAGCUGAUUGCCCAAUGCUGCUUUCUCUACAACAUUCAGGUCUCUGCCAGAUUUCCAGCACAUAGACAUGACCAAGCUGUGUUUCUGCAUCAAAUGUCAGCUU
ensembl:lncRNA